rnacentral:rRNA from 1 species
GAUGAACGCUAGCGGCAGGCCUAACACAUGCAAGUCGAGGGGCAGCACAUAAAGUGGUUUACUACUUUUGGUGGCGACCGGCGGACGGGUGCGUUACGCGUAUCCAACCUGCCUCCAACCUGGGGAUAACGGAGAGAAAUUUCCACUACUACCCCAUAAUAUCAGAAUCGGCAUCGGUUUUGGUUGAAAACUCCGGUGGUUGGAACUGGGCAUGCGUUGUAUUAGAUAGUUGGUGAGGUAACGGCUCACCAAGUCAACGAUACAUAGGGGGACUGAGAGGUUAGCCCCCCACACUGGUACUGAGAAACGGACCGGACUCCUACGGGAGGCAGCAGUGAGGAAUAUUGGUCAAUGGGGGCAACCCUGACCCAGCCAUGCCGCGUGCAGGAAGACGGCUCUAUGAGUUGUAAACUGCUUUUACAAGGGGAUAAAUCGGUGUACGUGUACACCGUUGAAGGUACCUUGGGAAUAAGGAUCGGCUAACUCCGUGCCAGCCGCCGCCGUAA